GACGAAGGGGGCUAGCGUUGCUCGGAAUUACUGGGCGUAAAGCGCGUGUAGGCGGCUGUUCAAGUUGGGCGUGAAAGCCUUGGGCUUAACCCAAGAAAUGCGCUCAAUACUGGAUAGCUAGAGGACCGGAGAGGAUAGUGGAAUUCCAGUGUAGUGGUGAAAUACGUAGAGAUUGGGAAGAACACCAGUGGCGAAGGCGGCUAUCUGGACGGACACUGACGCUGAGACGCGAAAGCGUGGGAGCAAACAGG
rnacentral:rRNA from 1 species